rnacentral:rRNA from 1 species
UACGAAGGGGGCUAGCGUUGCUCGGAAUCACUGGGCGUAAAGCGCACGUAGGCGGAUCUUUAAGUCAGGGGUGAAAUCCCGAGGCUCAACCUCGGAACUGCCUUUGAUACUGGGGAUCUCGAGUCCGGGAGAGGUGAGUGGAACUGCGAGUGUAGAGGUGAAAUUCGUAGAUAUUCGCAGGAACACCAGUGGCGAAGGCGGCUCACUGGCCCGGAACUGACGCUGAGGUGCGAAAGCGUGGGGAGCAAACAGG